CCUACGGGUGGCAGCAGUAGGGAAUUUUGCGCAAUGGGCGAAAGCCUGACGCAGCAACGCCGCGUGAUCGAGACGCCCUUCGGGGUGUAAAGAUCUGUCAGUGGGGACGAAACUUGACGGUACUCACAGAGGAAGCACCGGCUAACUCCGUGCCAGCAGCCGGGGGAAUACGGGGGGUGCAAGCGUUGUCCGGAAUCAUUGGGCGUAAAGAGUUCGUAGGCGGCACGUAAGGUCUGGUGUUAAAGGGAGAGGGUCAACUUCUGUACGGCACUGGAUACUUGCGAGCUAGAGUGCGAUAGAGGUAAAGGGAAUUCCUGGUGUAGCGGUGAAAUGCUUAGAUAUCAGGAGGAACAUCGGUGGCGUAAGCGCUUUACUGGGCCGUAAUUGACGCUGAGGAACGAAAGCCAGGGUAGCAAAUGGGAUUAGAUACCCCUGUAGUC
rnacentral:rRNA from 1 species